rnacentral:rRNA from 1 species
GACGAACGCUGGCGGCGUGCUUAACACAUGCAAGUCGAACGGUGAAGCGCCUUCCUUUUUGGUUGGUGUGGAUGAGUGGCGAACGGGUGAGUAACACGUGAGUAACCUGCCCCCUUCUUCGGUAUAACCGCAUGAAAGUGUGGCUAAUACGGGAUAUUCUGGGUCUGUCGCAUGAUGGGUCUGGGAAAGAUAUUGUUUCGGUGGGGGAUGGGCUCGCGGCCUAUCAGCUUGUUGGGGGGGUGAUGGCCUACCAAGGCGGUGACGGGUAGCCGGCCUGAGAGGGUGGGCGGUCCUACUGGGACUGCGACACGGAGCAGACUCCUACGGGAGGCAGCAGUGAGGAAUAGUGCACAAUGGGCGCCAGCCUGAAGCAGCGACGCCGCGUGAGGGAAGGAGGCCUUCGGGUUGUGAACCUCUUUCGCGGGUGAAGCAGGCAUGCCUCGUUUGUGGGUGGGUUGACGGUAGCUGGAUAAGAAGCGCCGGCUAACUACGUG